rnacentral:rRNA from 1 species
CCAGUAGUCAUAUGCUUGUCUCAAAGAUUAAGCCAUGCAUGUCUAAGUAUAAGCAAUUAUACCGUGAAACUGCGAAUGGCUCAUUAAAUCAGUUAUCGUUUAUUUGAUAGUACCUUACUACUUGGAUAACCGUGGUAAUUCUAGAGCUAAUACAUGCUAAAAACCCCAACUUCGGGAGGGGUGUAUUUAUUAGAUAAAAAACCAAUGCCCUUCGGGGCUCCUUGGUGAUUCAUGAUAACUUCUCAGAUCGCAUAGCCUUGAGCUGGCGACGGUUCAUUCAAAUUUCUGCCCUAUCAACUUUCGAUGGUAAGGUAGUGGCUUACCAUGGUUGCAACGGGUAACGGGGAAUUAGGGUUCGAUUCCGGAGAGGGAGCCUGAGAAACGGCUACCACAUCCAAGGAAGGCAGCAGGCGCGCAAAUUACCCAAUUCCGAUACGGAGAGGUAGUGACAAUAAAUACCUGAUACAGGGCUCUUUUGGGUCUUGUAAUUGGAAUGAGUACAAUUUAAACCUCUUAACGAGGAACAAUUGGAGGGCAAGUCUGGUGCCAGCAGCCGCGGUAAUUCCAGCUCCAAUAGCGUAUAUUAAAGUUGUUGCAGUUAAAAAGCUCGUAGUUGAACCUUUGGCCUGGCUGGCAGGUCCGCCUCACCGCGUGCACUUGUCCGGCCGGGCCUUUUCUUCUGGAGAACCGCAUGCCCUUCACUGGGUGUGUUGGGGACCAGGACUUUUACUUUGAAAAAAUUAGAGUGUUCAAAGCAGGCCUUUGCUCGAAUACGUUAGCAUGGAAUAAUAGAAUAGGACGUGCGGUCCUAUUUUGUUGGUUUCUAGGACCGCCGUAAUGAUUAAUAGGGACAGUUGGGGGCAUCAGUAUUCAAUUGUCAGAGGUGAAAUUCUUGGAUUUAUUGAAGACUAACUACUGCGAAAGCAUUUGCCAAAGAUGUUUUCAUUAAUCAGUGAACGAAAGUUAGGGGAUCGAAGACGAUCAGAUACCGUCGUAGUCUUAACCAUAAACUAUGCCGACUAGGGAUCGGGCGGUGUUUCUAAUGUGACCCGCUCGGCACCUUACGAGAAAUCAAAGUGUUUGGGUUCUGGGGGGAGUAUGGUCGCAAGGCUG